GAUGAACGCUGGCCGCGUGCCUAAUACAUGCAAGUCGAGCGAACGGACGAGAAGCUUGCUUUUCUGAUGUUAGCGGCGGACGGGUGAGUAACACGUGGAUAACCUACCUAUAAGACUGGGAUAACUUCGGGAAACCGGAGCUAAUACCGGAUAAUAUUUUGAACCGCAUGGUUCAAAAGUGAAAGACGGUCUUGCUGUCACUUAUAGAUGGAUCCGCGCUGCAUUAGCUAGUUGGUAAGGUAACGGCUUACCAAGGCAACGAUGCAUAGCCGACCUGAGAGGGUGAUCGGCCACACUGGAACUGAGACACGGUCCAGACUCCUACGGGAGGCAGCAGUAGGGAAUCUUCCGCAAUGGGCGAAAGCCUGACGGAGCAACGCCGCGUGAGUGAUGAAGGUCUUCGGAUCGUAAAACUCUGUUAUUAGGGAAGAACAUAUGUGUAAGUAACUGUGCACAUCUUGACGGUACCUAAUCAGAAAGCCACGGCUAACUACGUG
rnacentral:rRNA from 1 species